GCCCCUUUAGCUCAAUGGUUAGAGCAGCGGACUUUUAAUCCGUUGGUUCUGGGUUCGAGUCCCAGAGGGGGCACCA
rnacentral:tRNA from 1 species